rnacentral:lncRNA from 1 species
UUAUGAAAGGAGCUUGAUUGAUUUUGAUCAUGUUUUUCGACUGUUCAAUGUUUAAACCUAAGCAGGACUUGGCCAGACCCAAGUCUUUGAUACUGAAAGUCGUUUCUAAAUUUCUUUUUAAUGAGCAAGUUUCCUGGUCAUCAUUGGAGAAUACAAGAAAAUCAUCAACAUGAAGGGCAAUUAACGUACCUACAGGAAUCAUAAUUUUUCAUUUUGAAAUAUAAACAAGGUUCCAGUUCUGAUUUGGUGUAACCAAAUUCAGUUAGUUUUGAGACUACUUUCUCAUUCCAAACUCUGGACGAUUGCUUCAGGCCAUAUAAGGCUUUCUUUAAGAGACAAACCUUGUUCCUGUCUCCUGAAACAAAUCCUUCAGGUUGCUCCAUGUAGAUUACCUCUCUCAGGUCGCCAUUCAAAAAGGCUGAAUUAACAUCUAACUGAUGGACAGUUAGACCCAGCUGAGCUGAUAGUGCAAAUAACAAUCUAAGGGAGGACUUAUUAAUAACAGGAGCGAAGGUGUCUGUGUAGACUACGCCAAAAUGUUGCGUAAAACCUUUGGCUACAAGCCUGGCUUUAAAUUUCGGGUUAUUCGAAUUUGGUUCUUUGACUUUGAACACCCACUUACACUUAACAAUAUUUUCAAGCUGUGGUCUAUCAACGAGCACCCAGGUGGAGUUUUCAUGCAAUGAUGUGAUUUCUUCUUGCAUGGCAGCUUGCCAUUUGGAGCUGUCAUCACUUUUGAUGGCUUGCUGGUACGAUUGAGGGGUCUCCUCCACACACAGUGUUACAAAAUCAGGAAAAGUUUUGGGUUUUCGAUCACGGACCGGAAAGCGUCGCACUUCAUUAAUCGAACUUCCCUGAACUUCAAUUUCAGGGUUCUCGCGCACAUCAUCCUGAACUUCAAUUUCAGGGUUUUCCCGCACAUCAUCCUGAACUUCAAUUUCAGGGUUUUCGCGCACAUCAUCCUCGGCAACAUUUUUACGCACUUGAUUUUCACGACUCACGGGCAUUUUUGAUCGUAGAAUUAAUGGUUGUGAAGCACUUGGUACCUAGGUGUGUGGCGACCAACGCCAGAUACAGGUUUUUAUGCAGGUGUUUAAUACCAAAUUCAUGUUUUUAAGUAGGCGACUACCGCCAAAUACCGUUAUACGGUGAUUAGCACCAGUUUCAAGAUUUUUAUUGUUAUUCAGGCGAUUAACGCCCAAUGAUUACUUUUAAAGGGGCGACUAACGCCAAAUGAUUACUUUUAAAGGGGCGACUAACGCCAAUGAUACUAUGUUAGGAAGGCGAAUAACGUCAAGAUUUUUAUUGUUAUUGAGGCGAUUAACGCCAAAUGGUUACUUUUAAAGGGGCGACUAACGCCAAUGAUAAUAUAUUAUGAAGGCGAAUAACGUCAAGACCUUUAUGGUUGUUAAGGCGACUAACGUCUAAAUUAGGUUUUAUGGCGAUUAACGCAAUAUUACUUUUUACAAGGCGACUAACGCCAAUUAAUCAUUUCUAUUAAGGCGACUAACGUCUAAAUUGGUUUUAUAGCGAUUAACGCAAUGUUACUUUUUACAAAGGCGACUAACGCCAAUUAAUCAUUUCUAUUAAGGCGACUAACGUCUAAAUUUGGUUUUAUAGGUAGCGAUUAAC